rnacentral:rRNA from 1 species
GUUGAACGCUGGCGGCAGGCCUAACACAUGCAAGUCGAACGAGUGGCGGACGGGUGAGUAGUGUCUGGGAACCUGCCUGAUGGAGGGGGAUAACUACGGGAACCGGUAGCUACUCCCGCAUAACAUCGUAUGUGCCCAGAUGGGAUUAGCUAGUAGUGGGGGUAAAGGCUCACCUAGGCGACGAUCCCUAGCUGGUCUGAGAGGCUGACCAGCCACACUGGAACUGAGACACGGUCCAGACUCCUACGGGAGGCAGCAGUGGGGAAUAUUGCACAAUGGGCGCAAGCCUGAUGCAGCCAUGCCGCGUGUAUGAAGAAGGCCUUCGGGUUGUAAAGUACUUUCAGCGGGGAGGCGUUACCCGCAGAAGAAGCACCGGCUAACUCCGUGCCAGCAGCCGCGGUAAUUC